rnacentral:rRNA from 1 species
UACGUAAGGGGCAAGCGUUGUCCGGAAUUACUGGGCGUAAAGCGCACGUAGGCGGCUUUGUAAGUUAGAGGUGAAAGCCCGGGGCUCAACUCCGGAACUGCCUUUAAGACUGCAUCGCUAGAAUUGUGGAGAGGUAAGUGGAAUUCCGAGUGUAGAGGUGAAUUCGUAGAUAUUCGGAAGAACACCAGUGGCGAAGGCGACUUACUGGACACAUAUUGACGCUGAGGUGCGAAAGCGUGGGAGCAAACAGG